rfam:Bacillus sp. FJAT-27231 Scaffold1, whole genome shotgun sequence.
CCCGUGCUACAACCGCUCAUACCAGGUUCCGAAGAGUUUGUUUUUAGCAGACCACCUGCGAAUGGCGAGUCUGAGUAAUUAA